GGAGGUGUAGCUCAGUGGUAGAGUGCACGCUGAGCAUACAUGAGGCCCUGGGUUCAACUCCCAGCACCUCCA
rnacentral:tRNA from 1 species